rnacentral:rRNA from 1 species
AGCAGCCCAGAGUCUGAAUCAGCUUGUGUGUUAGUGGAACGGUCUGGAAAGUCCGACGGUACAGGGUGAUAGUCCCGUACACCAAAAUGCACAGGCUGUGAACUCGAAGAGUAGGGCGGGACACGUGGUAUCCUGUCUGAAUAUGGGGGGACCAUCCUCCAAGGCUAAAUACUCCUGACUGACCGAUAGUGAACCAGUACCGUGAGGGAAAGGCGAAAAGAACCCCGGCGAGGGGAGUGAAAAAGAACCUGAAACCGUGUACGUACAAGCAGUGGGAGCACCUUCGGGUGUGACUGCGUACCUUUUGUAUAAUGGGUCAGCGACUUAUAUUCUGUAGCAAGGUUAACCGUAUAGGGGAGCCGCAGGGAAACCGAGUCUUAACUGGGCGUUAAGUUGCAGGGUAUAGACCCGAAACCCGGUGAUCUAGCCAUGGGCAGGUUGAAGGUUGGGUAACACUAACUGGAGGACCGAACCGACUAAUGUUGAAAAAUUAGCGGAUGACUUGUGGCUGGGGGUGAAAGGCCAAUCAAACCGGGAGAUAGCUGGUUCUCCCCGAAAGCU